GGGUUGUGAGGUUAAGCGACUAAGCGUACACGGUGGAUGCCCUGGCAGUCAGAGGCGAUGAAGGACGUGCUAAUCUGCGAUAAGCGUCGGUAAGGUGAUAUGAACCGUUAUAACCGGCGAUUUCCGAAUGGGGAAACCCAGUGUGUUUCGACACACUAUCAUUAACUGAAUCCAUAGGUUAAUGAGGCGAACCGGGGGAACUGAAACAUCUAAGUACCCCGAGGAAAAGAAAUCAACCGAGAUUCCCCCAGUAGCGGCGAGCGAACGGGGAGCAGCCCAGAGCCUGAAUCAGUGUGUGUGUUAGUGGAAGCGUCUGGAAAGGCGCGCGAUACAGGGUGACAGCCCCGUACACAAAAAUGCACAUGCUGUGAGCUCGAUGAGUAGGGCGGGACACGUGGUAUCCUGUCUGAAUAUGGGGGGACCAUCCUCCAAGGCUAAAUACUCCUGACUGACCGAUAGUGAACCAGUACCGUGAGGGAAAGGCGAAAAGAACCCCGGCGAGGGGAGUGAAAAAGAACCUGAAACCGUGUACGUACAAGCAGUGGGAGCACGCUUAGGCGUGUGACUGCGUACCUUUUGUAUAAUGGGUCAGCGACUUAUAUUCUGUAGCAAGGUUAACCGAAUAGGGGAGCCGAAGGGAAACCGAGUCUUAACUGGGCGUUAAGUUGCAGGGUAUAGACCCGAAACCCGGUGAUCUAGCCAUGGGCAGGUUGAAGGUUGGGUAACACUAACUGGAGGACCGAACCGACUAAUGUUGAAAAAUUAGCGGAUGACUUGUGGCUGGGGGUGAAAGGCCAAUCAAACCGGGAGAUAGCUGGUUCUCCCCGAAAGCUAUUUAGGUAGCGCCUCGUGAAUUCAUCUCCGGGGGUAGAGCACUGUUUCGGCAAGGGGGUCAUCCCGACUUACCAACCCGAUGCAAACUGCGAAUACCGGAGAAUGUUAUCACGGGAGACACACGGCGGGUGCUAACGUCCGUCGUGAAGAGGGAAACAACCCAGACCGCCAGCUAAGGUCCCAAAGUCAUGGUUAAGUGGGAAACGAUGUGGGAAGGCCCAGACAGCCAGGAUGUUGGCUUAGAAGCAGCCAUCAUUUAAAGAAAGCGUAAUAGCUCACUGGUCGAGUCGGCCUGCGCGGAAGAUGUAACGGGGCUAAACCAUGCACCGAAGCUGCGGCAGCGACGCUGAUGCGUUGUUGGGUAGGGGAGCGUUCUGUAAGCCUGCGAAGGUGUGCUGUGAGGCAUGCUGGAGGUAUCAGAAGUGCGAAUGCUGACAUAAGUAACGAUAAAGCGGGUGAAAAGCCCGCUCGCCGGAAGACCAAGGGUUCCUGUCCAACGUUAAUCGGGGCAGGGUGAGUCGACCCCUAAGGCGAGGCCGAAAGGCGUAGUCGAUGGGAAACAGGUUAAUAUUCCUGUACUUGGUGUUACUGCGAAGGGGGGACGGAGAAGGCUAUGUUGGCCGGGCGACGGUUGUCCCGGUUUAAGCGUGUAGGCUGGUUUUCCAGGCAAAUCCGGAAAAUCAAGGCUGAGGCGUGAUGACGAGGCACUACGGUGCUGAAGCAACAAAUGCCCUGCUUCCAGGAAAAGCCUCUAAGCAUCAGGUAACAUCAAAUCGUACCCCAAACCGACACAGGUGGUCAGGUAGAGAAUACCAAGGCGCUUGAGAGAACUCGGGUGAAGGAACUAGGCAAAAUGGUGCCGUAACUUCGGGAGAAGGCACGCUGAUAUGUAGGUGAAGUCCCUCGCGGAUGGAGCUGAAAUCAGUCGAAGAUACCAGCUGGCUGCAACUGUUUAUUAAAAACACAGCACUGUGCAAACACGAAAGUGGACGUAUACGGUGUGACGCCUGCCCGGUGCCGGAAGGUUAAUUGAUGGGGUUAGCCGCAAGGCGAAGCUCUUGAUCGAAGCCCCGGUAAACGGCGGCCGUAACUAUAACGGUCCUAAGGUAGCGAAAUUCCUUGUCGGGUAAGUUCCGACCUGCACGAAUGGCGUAAUGAUGGCCAGGCUGUCUCCACCCGAGACUCAGUGAAAUUGAACUCGCUGUGAAGAUGCAGUGUACCCGCGGCAAGACGGAAAGACCCCGUGAACCUUUACUAUAGCUUGACACUGAACAUUGAGCCUUGAUGUGUAGGAUAGGUGGGAGGCUUUGAAGUGUGGACGCCAGUCUGCAUGGAGCCGACCUUGAAAUACCACCCUUUAAUGUUUGAUGUUCUAACGUUGACCCGUAAUCCGGGUUGCGGACAGUGUCUGGUGGGUAGUUUGACUGGGGCGGUCUCCUCCUAAAGAGUAACGGAGGAGCACGAAGGUUGGCUAAUCCUGGUCGGACAUCAGGAGGUUAGUGCAAUGGCAUAAGCCAGCUUGACUGCGAGCGUGACGGCGCGAGCAGGUGCGAAAGCAGGUCAUAGUGAUCCGGUGGUUCUGAAUGGAAGGGCCAUCGCUCAACGGAUAAAAGGUACUCCGGGGAUAACAGGCUGAUACCGCCCAAGAGUUCAUAUCGACGGCGGUGUUUGGCACCUCGAUGUCGGCUCAUCACAUCCUGGGGCUGAAGUAGGUCCCAAGGGUAUGGCUGUUCGCCAUUUAAAGUGGUACGCGAGCUGGGUUUAGAACGUCGUGAGACAGUUCGGUCCCUAUCUGCCGUGGGCGCUGGAGAACUGAGGGGGGCUGCUCCUAGUACGAGAGGACCGGAGUGGACGCAUCACUGGUGUUCGGGUUGUCAUGCCAAUGGCACUGCCCGGUAGCUAAAUGCGGAAGAGAUAAGUGCUGAAAGCAUCUAAGCACGAAACUUGCCCCGAGAUGAGUUCUCCCUGAC
rnacentral:rRNA from 1 species